AUUGAACGCUGGCGGCAUGCUUACACAUGCAAGUCGAACGGUAACAGGCCGCAAGGUGCUGACGAGUGGCGAACGGGUGAGCAAUGCAUCGGAACGUGCCCAGUCGUGGGGGAUAACGCAGCGAAAGCUGUGCUAAUACCGCAUACGAUCUAUGGAUGAAAGCGGGGGACCGUAAGGCCUCGCGCGAUUGGAGCGGCCGAUGUCAGAUUAGGUAGUUGGUGGGGUAAAGGCCUACCAAGCCGACGAUCUGUAGCUGGUCUGAGAGGACGACCAGCCACACUGGGACUGAGACACGGCCGAGACUCCUACGGGAAGCAGCAGUGGGGAAUUUUGGACAAUGGGCGCAAGCCUGAUCCAGCAAUGCCGCGUGCAGGAAGAAGGCCUUCGGGUUGUAAACUGCUUUUGUACGGAACGAAACGGCCUGGGUUAAUACCCUGGGCUAAUGACGGUACCGUAAGAAUAAGCACCGGCUAACUACGUGCCAGCCGCCGCGGUAAUAC
rnacentral:rRNA from 1 species